AACGAACGCUGGCGGCAGGCUUAACACAUGCAAGUCGAGCGCCCCGCAAGGGGAGCGGCCGACGGGUGAGUACCGCGUGGGAACGUACCUUUUGGUUCGGAACAACUCCGGGAAACUGGAGCUAAUACCGGAUAAGCCCUAACGGGGAAAGAUUUAUCGCCGAAAGAUCGGCCCGCGUCUGAUUAGCUAGUUGGUGAGGUAACGGCUCACCAAGGCGACGAUCAGUAGCUGGUCUGAGAGGAUGAUCAGCCACACUGGGACUGAGACACGGCCCAGACUCCUACGGGAGGCAGCAGUGGGGAAUAUUGGACAAUGGGCGCAAGCCUGAUCCAGCCAUGCCGCGUGAGUGAUGAAGGCCUUAGGGUUGUAAAGCUCUUUUGUCCGGGAAGAUAAUGACUGUACCGGAAGAAUAAGCCCCGGCUAACUUCGUG
rnacentral:rRNA from 1 species